UACGUAGGGUGCAGGCGUUACUCGGAAUUACUGGGCGUAAAGCGUGCGCAGGCGGUUUGCUAAGACAGGUGUGAAAUCCCCGGGCUUAACCUGGGAACUGCGCUUGUAACUGGCAAGCUAGAGUGUGGCAGAGGGGGGUGGAAUUCCACGUGUAGCAGUGAAAUGCGUAGAGAUCGGCAGGAACACCCAGGGGGAAACCAGUCGACUGGGCAUCUACUGACGCUGAGGUGCGAGAGCGUGGGGAGCGAACCGG
rnacentral:rRNA from 1 species